UACGAAGGGAGCUAGCGUUGUUCGGAAUAACUGGGCGUAAAGCGCACGUAGGCGGAUGUGUCAGUCAGGGGUGAAAUCCCGGAGCUCAACUUCGGAACUGCCCUUGAUACAGCACGUCUUGAGUCCGGAAGAGGUGGGUGGAAUUCCUAGUGUAGAGGUGAAAUUCGUAGAUAUUAGGAAGAACACCGGUGGCGAAGGCGGCCCACUGGUCCGGUACUGACGCUGAGGUGCGAAAGCGUGGGGAGAAAACAGG
rnacentral:rRNA from 1 species